rnacentral:rRNA from 1 species
GAAGAGUUUGAUCAUGGCUCAGAUUGAACGCUGGCGGCAGGCCUAACACAUGCAAGUCGAACGGUAACAGGAAGCAGCUUGCUGCUUUGCUGACGAGUGGCGGACGGGUGAGUAAUGUCUGGGAAACUGCCUGAUGGAGGGGGAUAACUACUGGAAACGGUGGCUAAUACCGCAUAACGUCGCAAGACCAAAGAGGGGGACCUUCGGGCCUCUUGCCAUCAGAUGUGCCCAGAUGGGAUUAGCUUGUUGGUGAGGUAACGGCUCACCAAGGCGACGAUCCCUAGCUGGUCUGAGAGGAUGACCAGCCACACUGGAACUGAGACACGGUCCAGACUCCUACGGGAGGCAGCAGUGGGGAAUAUUGCACAAUGGGCGCAAGCCUGAUGCAGCCAUGCCGCGUGUAUGAAGAAGGCCUUCGGGUUGUAAAGUACUUUCAGCGGGGAGGAAGGUGUUGUGGUUAAUAACCGCAGCAAUUGACGUUACCCGCAGAAGAAGCACCGGCUAACUCCGUGCCAGCAGCCGCGGUAAUACGGAGGGUGCAAGCGUUAAUCGGAAUUACUGGGCGUAAAGCGCACGCAGGCGGUCUGUCAAGUCGGAUGUGAAAUCCCCGGGCUCAACCUGGGAACUGCAUUCGAAACUGGCAGGCUUGAGUCUUGUAGAGGGGGGUAGAAUUCCAGGUGUAGCGGUGAAAUGCGUAGAGAUCUGGAGGAAUACCGGUGGCGAAGGCGGCCCCCUGGACAAAGACUGACGCUCAGGUGCGAAAGCGUGGGGAGCAAACAGGAUUAGAUACCCUGGUAGUCCACGCCGUAAACGAUGUCUACUUGGAGGUUGUGCCCUUGAGGCGUGGCUUCCGGAGCUAACGCGUUAAGUAGACCGCCUGGGGAGUACGGCCGCAAGGUUAAAACUCAAAUGAAUUGACGGGGGCCCGCACAAGCGGUGGAGCAUGUGGUUUAAUUCGAUGCAACGCGAAGAACCUUACCUGGUCUUGACAUCCACGGAAGAAUUCAGAGAUGGAUUUGUGCCUUCGGGAACC